UCACGACGCGAAGGCUUCAGACAGGUC
rnacentral:sRNA from 1 species